UAUGACCCAGGUCUACUCCCCUCAUUCCCUGACUCCACAGCACAGGCUCUUCCCAGUGAUCUGUAAGUGUAACUUUUUACACAAAGGCAAAAGCAGUGGGAUCAAAGAACUUCUUUUGUUGUGUAAUGGUUGUUAACAUAACUGAAGUACUCCCAGUGACUUAACCUGAUUCUGUCUGAGGCUAAGACUCUCAUUCUGACACUAACCUGAGAGAAGCCACUUCUCUUUCAACAAAAGGUCCACUUUUUUCUUUGACGACUAUGAUGAAAAUGCAAAUCAACCAAGACUGAGUAUUUAUAAUCAAGACGCUGACUCUGCUAAGAGCUGCAAUUGAUAGAAAGAUGUAUAAAAUAGGAACUAUUUCCAUUGAAGAGGAGAAUAUGGCCCAAUGCCCAUAACGUCUACACCUGGAAUUGAGAAAAUUCUGCUACUGUCCUCCCCACUUUCCAUCUCAUACAAGUUGAACUGUUUUGCAAUGAAAACAAAAGAGCAAUUGAGAAUUCGUCUGUAUCAAGAGAAUGUAAGUUCCCAGAUGAGCUUCUGAAAACACCUCACUUUCUGAAUUAAUUAAUUAAAAACUUCAAACAAUUUCUGAGCUGUAUAGAUUUUUUAAACUUGGUACAAUAAAUAGGUUUUCCAGCUGAGCCUCAAGCCCCUACUUUGAACCACCUUUUGGGCAUGUUUGCUUGUCUGCCACCUCAGGACCCAGCUCUUUAAUACAAAACUCUCAGGAUUGUUUCCAGACCAGUCUUCUCAUGAUUUUUAUGCUUUAGUAUACAGCACAAUUGUUAUCAUAGCCUCCUGGGUUUGAAACCUUGGGCAAAACGAUUUCUCUUUCCCUUUGGUUUAUUGGUAAUUCCUGUGCCUCUUUUCCAAACCUCUUAUUCUGAUUGGUACCUGGUUUACAUCUUCAUUCCUUUUUGACUAGAAGUUACCCACUUCUUCAUCGUGAUAUAUUCUACAUAUCUUUCAUAGACGAAACUUCGCAAAAGACUCUUUGACACUGGCCACAACCUUGCUGAAAAAUAUCAGUGGCUUGACAUUUUCCCAGGUUAAAUUACAAACUCUUGGCCAGGCACAGUGGCUCACGCCUGCAAUUCCAGCACUUUGGGAGUCUGAGACCAGCCUGGCCAACAGGUGGUGAAACCCCAACUCUACUAAAAAUACAAAAAUUAGCUGGCCAUAGUGGCAGGCACCUGUUGUCCCAGCUACUUGAGAGGCUGAAGCAGGAGAAUCGCUUGAACUCAGGAGGCGGAGGUUGCAGUGAGCCAAGAUCGCACCACUGCACUUCAGCCUGGGUGACAGAGAAUCUGUCUCAAAUAUAAAAAUAAAAAUAAAAUCUUUAACUUGGUUGCUAAACCAUUACCAGAAUAAAUGUAUGUCUCUACCUUCCCCUUUUCCCCUUUUGGUGUUUUAUGCAAACUCUAUUCCAACCAGAUGGGCCUCUUGUGUUUUCUUCCUUGUGUUUUCUUAGUCCUGUGCCUUCACUUUAAUCCUCCUCAUCCCACAGUUUUGAUUACUCCUGCCAUUCUUUACAAAUUCUACCCAUCAUUCAAUGUUCAGCUCAUGUUCCAUCUCUUCCCUGAUGCUUCUGUGACUCCAAACUUCAAGGAAUAUUUCAUUCUCCCAACUCCUGAGAGCUCAUUGCCUCACUAUGUUCAAUGUUUGGAUGAGACUACUUUGAGUUUUUCAUUGUGAAUACAUACCCUUUGUAUCUAGCUAUUUUGUUGAUGUGAUUAAUCUCUGUAUUCCCAUCACCUAGCACCUGGGUAGUAGGGGUGCAAUUAUGUUUAUGUGUGACUGAAUCAUUUAUGAGUCUUCUUACCACCUUCUCUUACAGCCCAUCACUCUCCUCCCCACCCCUCCUCACAGAGGUCAAAUCAGUUCUCAGUUCAUUGCCUCCAGAAUCCAUUCUACCCUUCCCAUUGUUUCCAUUCUGUCUCAAGCCCUCUUUCUCUCAGACUCUAUUUGUGCCCUUUUGACCAAGUUGUGGCUCCAGGCCUCUUUUUACCCAGGUCCAUUCUGCACUCCGCAGGCACAUUAAUGUUCUCAAAAUACUUCAGAAUAUCAUUUUCUACUCCAAAGUUUUCAAUACCAUCCUUUUGCAUUCAUAAUAAAAUGCAGAUUCCAUAGCACAUUUGAACACUAAUAGAACUAAUGAAGCUUCUCCUUUGCUACUUUCUCAUAUGAGCCAUCUGCCACAGUUAAGUGAGUAUAUUCAGUUUCUAUGAGACACCUUGUGGUUUUCUGCCUCUGUAACUUUGACCGUGUUACCCGGCCCCAACAAGUACUCAUAAAUAUUCUUUCAUAUUAUUUCAUGUUUUGAAAUUUCAGGCAUUUUCAAAGCCCAAUCCAAAUACUCCUUCUUUAUGAAAGACUGGCCUGACAAAAGUCUGUAUCAGCUUACGACAUAUUCAAUUUUUGCAUGCAAACUCAUUAUCUCCUCACCUGGACUAUGGCUCCGUGAAAAUAGAAAAUGCAUUUUCUCUCUCACAGAGCCUAACACUGUACUCACUCAAGACUUGCCAGUAAAAACCCCAACUUUAACACCUCAGUUAAAGACUAGAAAACUGAUUUAAAAAAGGUAGAGGGAAAAAGCAAUUCCCUUGAACUUCUUUUUUUGAGACAGAGUCUUGCUUUAUUGCCCAGGCUGGAGUGCGGUGGCAGAAUCUCGGCUCGAUGCAACCUGGACCUGCUGGGUUCAAGCGAUUCUCGUGCCUUAGCCUCCUGAGCAGCUGAGGCUACAAGCCCACACCACCAUGCCCAGCUAAUUUUUUGUAUUUUUAGUAGAGAUGGGGUUUCACCCGUAAUGGGGAGGGUGAAAACAAAGAUCCUAAAUACAUAGGAUUAUUACAUAAAGUAAAAAACCAGAAAACUAGAGCCUGAAAGAAGUGCUAACUACAGACAUUCUAAGAACACACUCAGCAGCACAUAACUCUUCUCUUUUAAGAUACUUAAAAACAUUUAAACUGAAUGUUGUGAAGGCUGUGCCAUUUGGCGGGGGACCUCUGUUUUCUUCCCCUUUCUGGGGAGAUAAUGGCUUCUGUCACAACACCACAGAGCAAUAAAGUCGACUCAUAAAAGUAAUGAACAAGUAAUGAACAAGCAGAAGGAACAAGAAUAGUCAUGAACAAGUCCUCCUGCCUAUUUGGAAAUGCCACUUGUCCUUAAACAGGGAACACAAAGGAUGGCUAGUGGUUGCAGUUCUCUGAUCACGAGUGCAAAUUCUCUGUCCUGCAAAUGCAACUGUACUUCCCCCAUCUUCCAGGAGACAAAACAUUUAGCUUUCCCUCUUCUAGGUUGCAUUUCCUCAUCAAAUACCCAGUACAGUUAAACUACUUGCAUCUGCACAACAAAUCAAAGAAACAGUAUUCAGUUUGUGAGGGUUUUGCAGAGCAAAGAAAGGAAGAGGCAACUUUGUUAACUCCUUCCAGGGCCACUAUUUAAAUUUCCCUUUGACCAGAGAGCUUGUCUAAGCAUGGAUGCAUCCACUCACUUCAAAGGGAGCUCUCUGUUCUGAUGAACAUUUUGGGGCCAUGGGCCAAGGCAAGUCAUAGGCUAGCACUCUUAUGCUGGGUCUUUGAUCAACCUUCCUUUAAUCUCUUAUCGUAGGUUUGAUUCUCGUUUUGCACCUUAUCCUCCGGACCUCCUCUGUGCUGAUUUUUCUUUGAAGUCAGCGUAGACUUGUGGGUAGAAGGCCGUAGGAAACAGACGUGCAACUGUCAAACUGGUUGUAAUUGUUUUUAUGUUUUGUGCUUUGUUUUGAAUUACUCAACCUCUCCACACAGCCAACCUGGGCUCUUCAGAUGUUUCCUUAUCUGUGGGUCUCUGACAUCUGAGUAAACAAAUGUGGUUUAAAAUCAGACAAAAUUGUUCACCUUAAUAAGUAAAUAUAAAACAAAUAAUGUAGUAAAGUCAAAUGUAUUGACAUGGAAUGUUGCUGACCAGAUGUUGUAAAGUGAAAGAUUUUAUACAGAUUAAAAAUCUGUAUAAAAGCAAAGAAAAUCUAGAAGGAUAUAUACUAACAUAUUCACAGCAGUCAUAUCUGGGAGGAGGGAUUAUGAGUGCGUUUAAUUUUGUAUUAUUUGCUUAUCUUUAUUUUCCAAUUUGUAUUAGAUGUACAUGCAUUGCUUUUGCAAUGAGGGAAAAAAGUUUAUUUUUAAUUUAAGAAAAUGGUCACAUAAAGACAAGAAAAGUAAUCUUCUAUUAAUAAUGAGCUUAUUUCUUACAAAUGACAAUUCUGAAUGUUUCGAGCUGAUAAUAAAUGACACUAUUUUCUUUCUAACUAAUCUUCUUGUAACAUUCUCCCAACUUAUUUGACUAUAGGAAUUUAAAAACAAGUUCAACUACCAUCUGGGAAAUUAUUAAUUACUGCAUUCCUCACUGAAAGGUGUAUUGUGUGCACAUGGAUUGGAAGAUGUUGUAUACAUACUGGGAAAAUGUUUGGGCUCUUAAGCCAGACAGACCUGUUUUGAGUCCCAGAGUUCCACCACUUUUUAGUUGUACAAGAUUAAGUAAUUUUCCCAAGAUCAAACAGCUAGUAAAUUAUGGGGCCCCAGGACUUGCACUUAAGCAUAUAUGGCUCUGAGCCCACACCCUUCCCUCCCUGCUUUGGAUGCAGAAGGCUGGUAGGGGGCAUGAGAGAAGCAGCGACUUGCACAGCCCUCUUUUCUUCUCCUUCCCAAGUACGCUUUUAGUCUUUCUUUGCCUUGCCUUUUUUUACUUUCUCUCCUUCCUGCCACUCUGAAGCCACAGCCGCCCUCCUUCCCUACUGUUGAACUUAUCACCAGCAAUCUGUGCUGGGACAAAGGCAGGACAAAGUACAGCAUCAAGACUUGGAGAGUCCACAGAUGAAUUCUUCACAGUGGAGCAAGCAGACAGGAAGCAGCAUGGAGGCCACUCUAGGUGGCUGCACUCAAAGGCCCAUGCAGGGGUGCAUCUUUUUGAAGUGGACAUGUACCAGGAUCUUGCCUAAGUUGUCUUUGGAGCACACUGGAAAAUGGAGCGUGAAAAAUCUCAGCAAUAUGUUUUAGGGCAGUACUUGUCAACCCUGGCUAAACAUGUGAAUCAGCUAAGAAGCCUUUUAGACACACAGAUGCCCAGGAUCUACUCUUGAUCAAUUCAUUCAGAAUCGUUGGGGUGGGUACAGACAUUUUUUAAAGUUUUCUAGAGUGGGUCUAAUGUGCAGUCAGGGUCAACCACCACAUUAGACAAUAGAGAAACAUGGAAAUGAGGACCAACAGAUCCAGUAUCAGAAAAGUAUAGUCCCAUACUUUCUUGAAGUAGGAAUAUUUCCUUUUGCCUUUUUCAGGCUGUAAAUGCAAAUGGGCUCACAUCAUGGCAACCUAUGUUUUGCAGUGACUUCAGCCUACUUGGCUGGCAAAGUGUUGCAGGGAACCUCACAUGUGUCUCAUGCACAAGCCCACGACCCCAAGGCUUCCUUCCACUCUGCUCCACUGACUUUAGCCUCCACAGCCUCCUACCCAAACCCUGUCCAUGAUCCAGUCCCUGCUGGGUGCUGAAGCUGGAUAAUGCAGGGAAAAUGCCUCCCUUCCUCAUUUUUCACUGUCUCCAGUCUUGAGCAGGGCUCUUGUGCCUACAGGUAAAUAGGUCUCUUGAAUUUUACCCCCAUGGCCUUCUCUCUCAAGAACCACAAGCACCAACAGGCCUGGUUCUGGAAAAAUUAUAAUACCAAAAACUGUACUAUAUUCAAAAUCACUUCUCUCCUCUGAUGGCCAAGGAAUAUUUUUGUUGUUAUCUCAGGAGGCUCAUAGGCCUCUCAGAAGAAACUUGAGGCAUAGCUUUCCAUCAUUCUGUUAGACACUAUUAGACAUGGUGAAAUUCCAGUUACAUGGGACCCCACUACAUGUCUCCCUUAAAAAGAAGCAACCUUAAGUAUCCCUUUGAAUGACCUCCAAGCCACAAGAUCUCCCCUUUCUUAUCUGCAUCCCUUGCUUUCCAACAUUACCAACAGUUUGCUAACUGAAAAUAAGACUUUGGCACUAUACACAGCAACUAUUUUGAUAUUUAUGUAUGCACAAUCCCUGGAAGCUUGUUUUCUGGUGAGGGGGUGAGGGAGGGCUUAAAGAAAUCUCUGCAUUGUCCAGUGCUCCUGGGGAAAUAGUCAAUAAACAGGAGAGAGUUGAAAUAAAUAUGAUAGUCACAAACAGCAAAUGAUACACUAGGUAGCAUAAAGUUUUGUGCUGUAGUACACUUUUAUGGGUUUAAUUUUUUUAAUGUUAGUCAUUACUUAGCAAGUCAUUGAGGGUUUCCCAUAUGAAUGAUUUCACAGGAAUGACAAAACAAGUAUGGUUUAUUCUCAUUAUUUGCAUGAGUUUUGUUCUAUAUAAAGUCACUACUAUACUGAAUUAGUGAAUGCUGAAUUAUUGACCCUAGGGGAAAUACAAGGUUAGGUUCCUGUGAGCUUCUGGUCACAGAUGAUUAAUACAUACUUUGUUUUAUAUGUGUUUCUGUUUAAAGACACCUUAUUUAAUAUAUUUGUUGAUUCACUAACAUUUAACUCACACCAACAACAGCACUGUAACUGAUGUCUGAACGAUGUUUAUCUAUUGCAUGUAUUUUCUCUGUAAGGCGUAUCACAGCCUUCUUGUGCUUCAAGACACUAGAUAGCACUUCCACAUUAUGGUUGUGGAAGCAUUUAAACAGUGAAAUAAUCAGCAAAAAGCACAAAAAUGCAAAAAAUGCUGAGUAAAUAGACUACAAAAAGCAUCCUUGUCUAUGGCUCCCUUGUUCAACCUCAGCUGAGUACAUGUGUGUAGAAAGACUCAAAGAUUUUUCACCAGUCUGUGCAUGUCUGUAAAUGACUGUGAAAGAGCUGCAAGUAGUGAUUUGGGGGUAAUAAAUACAUUUUAGGGAGUAGGUGAAUUAGCAAACACAGAAUCCAGAAAUAAUGAGUAAUGAUUAUGCUUAUAUUCCUUUUUUCUUUGGGGCUUUUUGAAGCAUCUAGAAAAAUGUACAAAACAGGAAAGAAAAUUAAGUGGGAAUAUGGUACAAAUAAUUUCUUUCUCAAUUGCUACUCUAUUUUAAAAACUCUUGGUCACUAUAAAUUAGCCAUGUUUCAAAUAGGUUAGGCAUCUAUUUACGACAUACAGACUACAUAUAUACCCCGGUGCCAUGACAAAAUUCCUCCAUUGACUAUUCUUAGUCUGCACUGAAUUAAGGUUUAGGAAAUGGUAUAUAAACAAAACUGUUUUCAGCUUGUUGAGGUCUGCAAAUUGCCUAAGUUCUCAGCUUCCUAACCCCAAACACACAACACCAGUAUUGUAACAUCAUUAGAAUUAGCCCGACUUAUAAUUGUUCUAGAAGUGUCCAAAAGAGGUCAGAGAAAUGUUGGGGCACUCAGAAGCAAAUGCUCUUUUGUAAAGACCUUAGGACACCCAUUCUCACCCAACCUUCUGUUGUAAAUGCUUGCUUAUUAACAGACACUAAACUUGAUGUUACUUUUAGGCAAUUUUUGACAAUUUAAAAAUCUCUUUUGACAACAUUCUUCAAGUACAGCUGACCCCAUUCCCCUGCUGCCACCCUCCUCCCACCAUCCCCCCAACCAAAAUUUAGACAAAGUCAGAACUUUUUAAAAGAACACAAGGAAAAUGCAAUGUAAUCACAAUGGGUCACAAAGGAUUCAAUUCAAAAGGCAGCAAUGUGAAAACUGGAAUCAGGGGGACCAUUCUUGAAGAGAAAAUGACUGAAAACUAGCAAGCACAUAGACUCUAAUGCUAAUAAAAACCAAAUGGCUUUCAUUACCAACACUCAGGAUACUUCCACAAUCUACUCUUCCAUUUUUAAAGAAAAAUCCCUGCCCCCAAAUUGUUUUUGUGAUGCCUUGGUUGAAGAAAGAUGGAGAGUGGGGGAUACCAGAUGCUGAGUGUAAUCUGGACUGCUAGUUUAUCAUUUAACUCAAACACUCCCUGUCAACCAGUGGUUAUGUUCCAAGAAAGCCAAGGUCAUGACUUAUACUUAUCUAAUUGGUGAGUACCAAGAAACCAUCCUGUUCAGACUUACAUAAGUAGAUGUGAAGGAAGUUUCCAAACGUAGUGAAUUUACUCUGUACAGCUGCACUCUCAAGUAAGGAGACCUAUUUUUGCUGUUCUAGUUUGAGGAGUAAUCAGUUUAUAACAAUAUUUCAUAUAUACAUGUGACUAAUUUACCUUAAAUGAAUAGGUCUUAUACAUACAAAACAAAUCUGUAUAUACACACAUAGGCACAAGCAUAUGAAUAAUCAACCUGGAUCCAUUUGCUAUCAGAUAAAUUCACUAUCAUAUUUAAAUAUACAAUGUACAUUAUAGGAUUUUCAUUUGGGUUUAGCCAAAGAUGCUUAAAUGUAAUAAUAAUAACAAUAAGAAGCCAACACUUAACAUACAUCAAACACCAAGUGCCUACUUCAUGCUAGCAAUUUUUAAAAUGCUUUCUUUAAUAUUUGUUUUCUUUAACCCUGUAUGGUAACUAUAUUUUUUCCCCCAUUUUACAAGUACAGAAGUUGAGGGUAAGUAAUUUGUGCCCAAGUUCACAUAGUUGUCAAAGGAUAUUGCUGUGGUUUUAAUUCAAGUAGUGCAAUGGCCAGUGUCUGGGCUCUUAUACUAUGUGAAACUGCCUUGGGUUUUAAUCAUUUUUCUUCUUAGAACUACUUUAUAAAGCAGGACAUAUUACUUCUAUUUUAAGGAAAUCUAGUUAUGAGGUGGUUACAAACUCAAGGUCACCAAUACAAAUUUAAGGAGUUCAUCUAAAGGUGAUCCUAGGUCUAAUUUUAAGCUGAUGCUUUUUUCACAGUAUCAUUCUGCCUUAACUCUAAAUAACAUUUAAAAAUUUUCAGAAAGUCUACAGAGAAGGAGAGAGAACCCAAAUUAAGUUAUAGAGCAACCACUGUUUUUCUUGACACCCAAUUAAAAUGGUAAUUGCUCUAUAACAUGUAUAUAGUUAUAUAAUUUUUUUUCACCUCAUUUGGCCCUGGAUUUUAGAACUUGUUGAGAUAAUAACAGAAAUCUCGUGGCUAAUGGAUUCACAAUAAUAAUCUUUAGUUGGCACUCCCGAAAUUAGUGAAAUUCUUCCGUCUUAUCUCAUAGCCCAUUUCAAUGAAUGGCUCAGAGCCAAGGGAGGACUGGCAAUUAUUUUCCAGUAGGAAUUCCUCCAGAAUUCGCAGCAGAAACAUAUUCUGUUAGUAAUAAUACAAAAAAGUACUCUGUGUUACAGUUAAGUUAAAGUGCCACAAGUCUAAAAAUAAUGUUUCUUCUUCAGGUGCAAUUUGCAUUUUGAAUCCUGAAAGACUCUGCUGGCAAAAAGCUAUUAGGGAUUAUACUGUAAUUUAAAUACAGUAUAUCACUUAAAAUGAAUUAUCAGAUCUGCUGUUGAUUAUAAUGUUAGCAAAUGAUGAUAAUGUUCCUUUUUUAAACUAAAGCUAUAGAAGGUCAUGAAAAGGCUACAUUGUUCCCUUGGUAACACUCUUCAGGUAGAUCUCAAGUUCCCUGGACCCUGGCAGACAACUCUGAAGAGGGAGCAAUGAGGAUCCACACCCAUGUUCUCCUGUUUAAACAUUGUGUUAUUUUGGAUCAUAUUGUUGGUCAAGAAUAACCAGCCAACUUCAAUAAUAUGUAAUUACUAAGAGUAACUCAAAGCAUCCUGCCUUUGCAUCAAUUUUGGUUAGGGAGUGGUACAAAAAGACAACAGUGGAGGACAAGCUGAGCCAACGGUGCUUCCUGAAUGCUGCCUAAAAUAAUGUCAAGUUCUAAAAAGGCUCUUCUCUAGAGAGCACUAAUACAUUUAGUAACUAUUAAUAAACCAAACAUUUGAUUGGCACAAGGCAGUGUUCGGCUCCAUAUGUUUAUAUUUUUUACUGAUUGAAUAGCUAUUUUCUAUCAUAGAAGAUUCAGAAGAUUAUGUUAAAUUGUUUGCUUUCUCCAGAGAAUUUUCUUCUUGUGAAGCAUGAAAAGAGUAAAACUUUUCAUUUAAUUUCAACAAAUAUUGAGGGCUUCUAUAUAUCCAACACUGUUAGGAACUGAACAUACCAUGGUGUGAUAAACAGACAUAAUCUCUGCUCUCACUAAGUUUGCAGGAUUUCAUCUUAAACAAGACCGUUAUUUUCUAAUGCACGUGAGCUCCUACAUUGUAACUAUAUCUAGAUAUGAAAGAUUGUUUUGUGAUGCUCAGGUCUGAUUUUCAAUUCUCAAACUUACUCAGUGUUCAGUUGACAACUAAAGCUCAUACUUUAUUCAGCUGAGGUAGGGAGUCACUUGUGAUGUCCUUCCACAGAUGAGUUGAUGCGUGUGUGUGUGAGCUGGCUAGGAAUUUGAAUUGGUGCGUUAGGAAUGAAGUGAGCAGAGAUAGAGGAGUCUUACAGGAUGGUGGCUGUUGAAGAACAGCAACACUUAGCUGAACAAUGGUGUUCAAGAGAAGGAGAGCACAGAGGGUUUAGGAGAGAAGAAAUGAAUUAUUGAGAAGGGAGAGAUUCAGAACAAACCAGAGUUGGAAAAGAAAAACCAUACUGAUAGAGACUUUGCCUUUAGAGAUCUGGAAAUUCUUACCCAAGUGGAAAAUUAGUUGAAAUUCUCCCUUAAACAGGAAAAUACUGGGAAAGAGAAACACAUCCCAAAACGGUUUCCUCAAUAACCUAGUUCUAGCUUAGGAGGUAGAAUUAGCAGGGUGAAUUAGACAACUGAGAAGAGAAUCAUUGACUUUAUUGCUAGCAAAGAAGAUGGAUCAGACAGAAAGGGGCUAAACCUAGGAGGCUUGAUAGAGAAAUACUGAACUGAGAAAUCUGAACUUGCAUAAGCAGGACCUAGCUAGACUGAAAACGUUUCUUUGCUGCUGCUAUAUUUGUGUAUCAGGUGUGCUUAUAAAUCACCUUGCAUAGGCAUCAAUAGUUUUGUGACUUCAAGAUAAGGAUCCUGAGAGUAUAUUUAUUCAAUCAAUAUAUAUUGAUAACUUACACAUUGCUGGGUGCUAGAAAUAGAAUAAUGAAUAAGAUAGAAACAGUCAAAACUUACAUUUUAGUGGACAAAACCCAGACAUUGAGCAACUAAUACCAAGUGAGAUAUGGGUUAUAGGUAAAGUGUAUAGGAUGCUCUGGGAAUGAAGGAGGAGCUACCAGUCGAAGGUAGAGGAGAGAGGAGUAAUUCAUUUAUUCCUUUGGCCAUUCAACAAAUAUUUGAGUCAGGUUCUGAGCUGUAUCCCAGAUGGAGAAAGUAGGUGACGUUUUUUGACAAAAGAGACAACCAAAAGAAGACUGGUAUGCCGAGUGACUGUCUGCAGAUGUGGACAGGUAGGCCACCCUCUGAAGAAGGGAUUAAGGAGGAAGAGGUAGGUCUCAAGGUUUCCACAUGCCAGGAGCCCUGCCUGUUGUUGACUGGUAGAAGCAGAGGCCUGGUCUUUGCCACCCUGCCCAGUGAACAGGAGGGAUAUGAUCAUGGGAAAGAGACCUCACUCUUGCUGAGGUUGCAAGAAACAGCAGCCUUGCCCUAGAAGCCCUCAUGGGAACAGCUUAACCUUUCUUCCAAGCUGUCUUUAUGGUUAUGGCUGGUUGCAAAGCUCUAAAUCAUCUUGUUAACACAUGCUCUGCCAAGUUGACUUAUGCUCUCUCAAGCCCAAGCAUGAGCAAGUUCUUUCUAUGAAUCCAGGCAGGGCUCUUGUGAACUGCAAAUAUGUAUGACCAUAUGGUUAGGUGAGGGGAUAGAGCCUCGGAUCAACAAUGCAAUGAGCUAUCAGAUCGGUAUGGUAUGCACAAUUUUUGAGAAAUGACUCAAAGUAUAUUUCAAGGUAAUCCAUAGAAUACAAAAGCAAUAAUUUUAAGUAUACUUCAACCCAGGGAAAGAAUUCUAAUUCCUACCCCUAGCACAAUGACUAGCCUAUAAUGAACACUCUGAAAGGAUCCUUUAUUCUCAAUUAAUUACAUCUUCUUGUAGUAAAUCAUCACCAUCUGCUAUUUGUAAACUAAAACCCACACAAGCACUGUAUCAGAAUCUUGAAAUAUUCUGAUACUACCUUCUUUUUCUUGUUACUAUCCCUGAAUAAAAAAUGACUUGAAUGCUCAUUUUAAAGUCAGAUAGGCAGGAUCUAAAAUUUUUUGAACUUCACAUAAUUAGAUUUUCUUUUGCUAAAUAAACAAAACAAAAAACCAAUUUCCCCCUCCUAGGUUUUGAAAAUGAAUAGGUGUGAUGGCUGAUAGGUGAAGGACAAGCAGGCUCCUUGGCUGUCUGUGUUGGCAUACAAAAUCAGUGAAGCUGUUCCUUCCUCAGUAAAUGAAGAAACAUUCUUUUUCCAUAUAAAACAUUCAUCAUUCGCAUAAACUGGGCUCUGAUAGAAGUAGUUAGACGAGACCAGUGAGACUGAAUCCUGGUUUAGCUAGACUAUAAAGGACCAUCAACAGAAGAGCAUCCAGCUACAAGCAACAGAAAGAAGCCUCACAGGGAGGGCACCCACAGGCAGAGUGAGGAGGGAGCUAUAACCAGCAGAUGGUGUGCAUUGACCCAAGAAACUUCAGUUCUCCACUUUCUGGCAAAAGGUCAUGAGGUUAGGAGCUAAGCUAGAUUUCAGUCCCAGAAGACAGGAAAAAAAAAAAAAAAAGAAACUCAUUUUCCAGAAGUAGAGAAAGAGCCAGGAGUGAGAUUCCCAAGGGAGAAGGCAGAAACCUAUUUACUAGAUCUGGUGUCAGAGACAGAUCACCAGGAGUGGGGAGCUGACUGGAUGUGGGACAUUUGAGCUACUGACCUUGGCCCCAGUGAGUGCCUGGCCCUGGAAUGGGACUGACCCUUGGAGUCCCAUAUGGAACUCAACCAAUCUGUCAACUUUCCAGAGCUUCCCAUUUCUUUAUUUUCAUUUUGUUACCACAGUUGAGUGGCGCCAUACAAAGUGUAUUAGGCUGUUCUUGCAAUGCUAUAAAGAAAUACCUGAGACUGAGUAAUUUAUAAAGAAAAGAGGUUUCAUUGGGUCAUGGCUUUGCAGGUUUUACAGGAAGCAUAACACCAGCAUCUGCUUUUCAGGAGGCCUCAGGGAGCUUUUACUUAUGACAGAAGGUAAAGGAGGAGCAGGCAUCUCACCUGGCAAGAAAGGAAGCAAGAGAGUGGGUGGGGAGGUGCCACACACCUAUAAGCAACCAGAUCUCAUAACUCAUUCUCUAUUGCAAAAAUAGCACCAAGUCAUUAGGGAUCUGCCUCCAUGAUCCAAAUACCUCCCACCAGGCCCCACCUCCAACACUGAGGAUUAAUUCAACAUGAGAUUUGGGCGAGGACAAAUAUCCAAACUACAUCACAAAGUUUCAUAGCACCUAUUGCUACGAACUUAUUGAGUUAUUUGUUGGAGAUGGGGUCUUGCAAUGUUGCCCAGGCUAAUCUCCAAUUCCUGGGCUCAAGUGAUGCUGCUGCCUCAGUCUCCUGAGUAGCUAAGACUACACGUGUGUGCCACAGCAUUCAGCUCUACUAUUUUACAGAAGCUGUUAAAAGAUUCAUAGUUGCACGAUGCUAGUUUCUUUAAGGUGACUUUCAAGGUUUCACUUGAAUCAUUUUUUUCUCAGCAUAUUAUCAGAUCCUUGCUAGAGUAUUAAGUAUGGUGCUUUGAGUAACUUAUAGUUGAUUUAAUGAUUGUGUGUAUAUUACAUCAUGAUAUUAUUUGUUUAUCUCAUUCACUCAAACAUGAUUAAAAUUCAUUUCUCUGUCACAAACACAAUUAUUACUAUUUUGCUUCUUGGCUUCUAAGUUAGUAAUAACAUUAAUUACUACAUACAUGUGUUUUGAAAAUAAUUCAUUUAGUGUCAAACUGGCAGAAGUAUCAGAAACGUCCUAACUUCAUUCAGCUAAUUUCAUUAUUCCAGAAAAUUAAGCCAAAGAGUUUAACAAAAGCUUUCUUUUCUGGAGUAUUUUUUAAGUAAUUACCAAAUCUUCAAGCAUAUCUUGUUAGAAGCCUUUAAUGAUUUGGGAGUUCUUUAAAUAAGAAUUUCCUUAAAGUUCAGAAAAACCUUGAUUAACAAAAUAAUCCUUAGAAGAUAUGGCUGGGUCAUAUCCAUCAUUUUACACUUGGCUUGCUUGUUUUUGCUUAAGCAUCAAACACAGAGAAACAAAUUCACUGCUGGCUAUUGGAUACUUGCUCGGCAACUUCAAUUUAACUUUGCAAUCACCUAGUCUAGUCUAUGAGGUGGACCAACUCCCAUUUCAUUAGCUUCACAGUUAAGGCACUACAGUUGGACUCCUCUGGAUUGCAGAAAUGGAAUAUUAAAGGAAGAUUAUACCUCUGAGAACUGUUUAAACAAAACAUUUUAAGAUAAAAACUCAUUGAUUCAUUUUGAGUUUUUAUCUAGGAUAGCAGAAAAAUAAAAAUGAGUAGAAACAAAUUCAUCAAUAAUUCUAUCAAAUGGAAUCCCACACUAUAUGCCAGACAGGUAGCCCUCUAGCACUUCUUCUUAUUAGUUGCUGCUUACCCUUUUGUGUGAUAAUUUCAUAUGACAACACAUGUACUGAAAAUCCUUACCCAUCUGAACUAAUCUCAUUGGGUGGCAUAUCCCUUCACUUUGCCCCAACAUGGAAAAGCCAAACUAGUUUUCUGUUGCACUCUGUGCAAUAGCCAAAUCUAUACUCUCCACUCAGCUUAUGUAAGCUUCUGUCAGUCAACCACCCCAGCCUCAUCUACUUUAUCUCUGUCUUCUAUUGACUCCAAAGGCAUUAAUCUGCUUCUUUAAGACUCUGAUAUGACAUGGUGGCUCAUGCCUGUAAUCCCAGCAUUUUGGGAGGCCGAGGUGUGCAGAUCACCUGAAGUGAGGAGUUCGAGACCAGCCUGACCAACAUGAAGAAACCCUGUGUCUACUAAAAAUACAAAAAAUUAGCUGGGUGUGAUGGCACAUGCCUGUAGUCCCAGCUACCCAGGAGGCUGAGGCAGGAGAAUCGCUUGAACCCAGGAGGUGGAGGUUGUGGUGAGCUGAGAUUGUGCUAUUGCACUGUAGCCUGGGCAACAAGACUGAAACUCCAUCUCCAAAAAAAAAAAAAAAGACUCUGGCACCUUUCACAGUCUGCCCUUCCACGGAUAAGUUCUACCAUCUUGCUAUGUCAUAUCAGAGACCCUGUGGACAACCUCUGGUAUACUCUAGCUUAAGAGUUUCUUGACCAUCUGAACUCUCCUGACUUUCACCUUCACUUCACAUUGGUGAAUACAUUUCCACAACGACAUCUUAAUGUUCUCAGAUCUUAAUGUUCUCACAACCCAGAACAGUUGUGCCUCUGAAAUAUUCAUCUCGAGUAACCCCCUCUCCAAUAAGAAUCUUCUGAUCCUUAGAAUUUUUUUUUUUUCAUUUCUUUAUUCCCUCUACACCUGCUCUUCAACUUCACUGCCAACUCUCACCCUAUGGCCACUCCAUUUUUACCUUACCUUUCAUUUAUAUCCUCUAUCCAGCGUACAUCCUGUGCCAUCCCUGAAACCAUCAUCUCACCAAAGUAUUUCAUUCCCUUGCCCCCUGUGAAUGAGCCUACCCUGAAUUGAUUCAGCUGCCUUCCUCUUCCCUUCCAACUCUAGGCUAAGAGAUCUAAUAAUGUUUUUUAUAUGUGUGUUUGUUUGCUUACUUACUGUCUCCUUUACUAAGCUCAUUGUAAGCUCCUGUGGGCAGGGACUUUGCAUUGUUCACUCUGUGUUUAGGUGCUGGGUAACCUUAGCGUCUAAAACAGUGCCCAACAAUAUCUGUUGAAGCUAUUAUUGGUGAUACUGGAGAAACCACACAACUGGUUUAAUGCCAUUUCAAGUUACAGCCCUCCACUUCAACAGAGCCAUCAAUUCUGUGUGCAUGGCCCACUCCUCACAUGGACCCUUUCUAGUCUUCAUACUCUCCUUAUUUACUUUCUCUACCAGCUCACUCUCAGGGGGAGAUUUUUUGCUUGUUACUUCGUAGAGGCCAACUGGAUCAUGACCCAUUCAACCCCCAGUCUCUUCCAGCCUCCAAACAUACUUGCCUUUUAGCCAUCUUGGCUUCUUUCACUCGGUAUUAAAUAAAAGGGAAGACAGCCAUUCUCUAUCUCAGAAUAAUCCUACAUUCUUUCGCUGGAUACAUAUCCUCUUUUAUUUCCCCAUGGACAAGAUCCAUCAAUUUUCCAAUCUUCCAGCCUUCAAACAUAUGUGCCUUUUAGCCAUCUUGGCUUCUUUCACCCAGUAUUAAAUAAAAGGGAAGACAGCCAUUCUCUAUCUCAGAAUAAUCCUACAUACUUUUCCCUGGAUACAUAUCCUCUUUUACUUCCCCAUGGACAAGAUCCAUCAAUUUUCCAUCUUCAAUGUCUUCGUCUCUGCCUUCAACAUUUAGCCCAGUCAACCUCUCAGCUGUGUUUAAUUCCAACAAUCACUCUCUCAUUUUUGACAUCUGCUCUUCCAUUUGCUUUGGUGAUUUUAUGCUUUGCUGGUUUUCCUUCUACCUCUCUGAAUACUACUUCUCGGUUUCUUUAGGAGUUUCUUCCUCCUUUCAUUUUCAAAUGUUGCUUUAUGUGAUGCCAUUUUUGAUUCCCUUCUCCAUUUCCCUAGGAAAUCUCAACCAUAUCAUCCACAUGCUGAUGACCCUUGAAUCUUUAUUUCCAGCACCAUCUUCCCUGAACUCUACCACAUCAAAUAUGUACCAGUAUCUCAAAUUUAAACUGUCUCAAGGUGAACUCUUCACUGCAUUGGUCCCAGCCUAUUACCCAAUAAGCUGUUGCUUCAGUGUUCCCUAGCUUGGUGAACGGCCAAGCUUACCACCCAAUUUACCAAACCAGAAACUUGAAUUACCUUUCCCUCACUUCUUUUUCACAACCUCACCUAUUUUUUCACAACCUCACAAAUUUACAGAAACAUUAUGUCUUAUGAAUUCCCAGUAAAUAUUUCAUAAAUCUAUCCAUUUCUCAGCCUGGGCAACAUGAGGAAAUCCUAUCUCUAAAGAAAAUUACAAAACUUAAUGGUAUAUGGUGGCACAUGCCUGUAGUCCCAGCUACUCCGGAGGCUGAAGUGGGAGGACUGCUUGAGUCUGGGGAAGUCAAGGCUGUAGUGAGCCGUGAUUGUACCACUGAACUCCAGCCUGGGUGACAGAGUGAGGCUCCAUCUCCAAACAAACUAACAACAGCAACAGCAACAAAAACUGUUGCCAUUCAAAUCCAGGCAACCACCACACUCAUCCAGAUAAGUGCAGUAGCCCAAUUUCCUGCCCACAGCCAUUCUUUAAUUCUUGUCAGUGAUCUUUCUCAAUAAUUCUGACAAAGUCAUGCGUCCUUUCAAACCCUUCUUUCUGUGACUUCUCACCGCUACUAGAAGGAAGCGCAUUCACUUUAACAAUGACUACAAAAUCCAACUCGUGCUUUUUUCUUUUGCCUGUAGUGAACAAUUCUCCUUCCUGCCUCCACUUUCCUAUCUUCAUACACACCCUCUAUGACAGCCUUACAGAAAUUCUUUCAGUUUCCCAGUCUCGCCAAGCUCUCUCACAAACAAGGAGCACUGAAACGUUAUUCCCUUGUUUGGGUAAAUUUUUGCCUCCACUUUACCAGGCCUAAAUUAGACAGCAGCCAAUCUCGACAAUGCCACACCACCGUUGAAAAUCCCUUAGAUGCUCCCUGUGGCAUUUUAAUUUUAUUCAUUUUCUGUAGACUUCAGGAGAUAUUGCAACCCGUUUAUCAUGGCAUAUAAGACCCUUUGUGACCUGGGCCCUGGUUACUUCUCCAGCAUCACAUCUUGCUUGCCUCUACACCCCAGCCAUCAUGAAUUACUUCCAGGUCCUAAACUCACCGAGCUCUCUCCUCCAUCUUGCAUACAGCCUAUGCGCAUGCUCUCCUCUGCUCCCAUUGGUUGGGUAAUCCAACUACCUUUCAGAAUUUAGCGGGUGAUGUGGGACUGGCUUCCUGGCCUUGUUGCCAUCACUUCAGCUGCCCACUCCCAUACCCACUCUGGUUUAGCUGCUCCUCUCUCAGAGCAUCUGUAGCACACACAAUCUUCUUGUCACUAUCAUAGCACUUAUCAAACCAUUUUGUUUACGUCUCUCACACUGACCAGAUUUUCCUGAGGGCAGGAGGUAUUUUAGUUCAUAUUUCCAAUGUCUAAUGUUCAGUGUUUAGAAGGUGCUUGAUUAAUGCUUUCGUGAGGGAAAAAAAUGAAUGCCAGGUAUGGAGGGACGUGCCUGUAGUCCCAGCUGCUUAGGAGGUUGAGGAGUGUGGAUUGCUUGAGCCCAGGAGCCUGAGGGCAGUCUAGGCAACACAGGGAGACUCUGCCUCUAAAAAAGUAAAAAAUAAAAUUUAAAAGAUAAAAUUAAUUAACUAAUGAAUAGAUAAAUGAAUAAAUGAAUGAAUGGAUGAGGGAAAAAGUUGUUCUAAUGUCUCCACAGAAACAUCAUGCCUGCAUUACACUGGGGAAAUUUAGGAAGACAUUCCAGGUUGAGCUUCUCCAUGAUUAGCAGAAAAUCAGGCUCAGUGUCUCUCCUCUCUAACGUAAAGUCUUCACUGGGCACACAGUCUGAAAUUGAACCUGUUAAAGCAAUCAGUUGGUCAAUAUGUAUCUUCUUUUAAAAAUGCAAAUGUCCAGGCAAUUCCUAUACUGCUUAACAUCUAUUCAUUUACUUAAAUUGCUUUUCCUCCUAACACAUAACAGAAACUACUCUACUGAAGAAAUGGAAAUUCUGUGUGCCCAGGAAGAAUAGAAAGUUUAGCAGCAUAGGUAUAUUUCAAAAGCUUCCCAAACCAUUGUAAUAAGCAGCCAUAUUUGAAAAUCACUAUUAUUUAGUGCUUUUCAACCUUACUGUGCAGGGAGAUCACCUGAAAGGGUUACUGAAAGUGCAGCUGCAGAUUCAGUAGGUCUGAGGUGGGGCCCAAGACUGCAUUUUUGCACGUUCUCAGCUGCUGCUGCUGCUGUUGUUGGUCCAUGGACCACACAUUGAAUACCAAGGAUCUAGUCAUUCUCCUAAUGCAGACCUCUAACUUAUUUACCUUUAGGGAUUAAUCAGUGGUAAGAAAAGGGAUAAUGGCAAAGGUCUGCAAGGGUGAGCACAGAGUAACUACAUUUGUAAACUAAGGUGUGCCUGUUGGUUUUUCUUCACAGGAAACACAGAUUCAAGUGUUCAUUUCUGAUUGUGCUCAUUCUAAUUGAUUCAAAGCCUAAACUGUCACCCCCAUGCUAAGAGCACAGCAAUCAAAGAAAAUGUUAAUAAAGGAUGAUACAUUUUUAUUUGAGACUACCUAAAAUGUAUUAUAUUCUGUCUCCUUCUCUUUCUUUCUCUCUCUCUCCCUCUCUGGCUAUUCCUCUUUAAAAAUAUAUUGUUUGCUCUCCUUCAUCCCUAUCCAGAAGAGGAAACACAAGAAGAAAUACUUGGUGCAGAGCCCCAAUUCCCACUCCCUGGGUGUGAAAUGCCCAGGAUACUAUAAAAUCACCACAGUUUUUAGCCAUGCACAAAUGAUAGUUUUGUGUGUUGGCUGCUCCACUGUCCUCUGUCAGCCUCCAAGAGGAAAAGCAAGGCUUACAGAAGGAUGUUCUUUCAGGAGGAAGCAGCACUAAAAGCAGUUUGAAUCAAGAUGAGUGGGAAACCACCUCAAUAAACACAUUUUGGAAUAUAUAUGUGUGUGUGUGUGUGUGUGUGUGUGUGUGUGUGUGUGUGUAGUUUGCCUUUUGAUUUGAUUAUUAUUUGAUUCUCAAAAAAGAAAAAAAUGUUAAAUACUGCAUUUGACGGUUGGGUGUGUUGGCUCACACCUGUAAUCCCGGCACUUUGGGAGGCUGAGGCGGGCAGAUCACAAGGUCGGGAGUUCAAGACCAACCUGGCUAACACAGUGAAACCCAGUCUCUAAUAAAGAUACAAAAAAUUAGCCGGGCCUGGUGGCAUGCACCUGUAAUCCCAGCUACUCAGGAGAGGCUGAGGCAGGUGAAUAGCCUGAACCUGGGAGGGAGACGGAGGUUGCAGUGAGCCAAGACUGUGCCAUUGCACACUCCAGGCUGGGUGACAGGGCUAGACUCCAUCACAAAAAUAAAUAAAUAGUGCAUUUGUGAUUUUCAUGAAAUAAGAUGUUAAAUGAAUCAGAGCUGUACAUUAUACCUUUGGUGCAUCUUCCUGAAGAAUGUGUAACAUGAAAUAGGCUGUCAUUAGUCUUUGCUGUUUCUCUGUAAAAUGAGACACUUUUAAUUCCAAUUUUGUAGAUAAGGAAAAUGAAAUGCAGAAAGCUGAACUGACUUAAUUAGGAACACAUACCAAUAACACAGGAUGUGGCCGAAACUUACAUCCUAGAUCUCCCAUGCUAAAAGUUGGCUUAGUGGAAAAAGAAGCAGUAAGCUUCCAAAAAUUGUGCCUGUUACACAUAACACUUGCAUCUCUUUGAAACAAACUUUAUAAUUUAACAGCCCUUCUCCUGCACGUAUUUCUUGCUGGCAUUUAUAUUCUAUUCAUCUAAUUAUUAACCUAUAUUCUUCCUAAAAGAAUUCAAAGUGGCCUUAGAGGGCUACAUAAAAUAAAGUAAUAUACAUUGUCUGAGAACGAAAAGAGGAACAGGAAUAAAGCUGAUGAAGCAAGUUUAUACAAAGAGGUCCUAUAAUUUCAAGUUAAAUUCAAAUUUGGCUCUUGACUUUCUACCAGUCAAGGUGAAAAGGGAAACAUGUCACAGCACUUGCGUGAAAAACCAACACAUUUUUCCAGAAGCAGUAACUGCUAAAUGCUCUGUGGUAGACCAAGUAGUCUGGCUUUGAUCCAGACGGCUGGUACACCUGGGCACAUAUGUCUUUCACUUCCUCUGCAAGUGAAACCCCAGGGAGUAAAAAACAGGGCUUCCCACACCUAAUCCUCAAAUAAUUUUAACUUCCCAGUUGAUUUACUAUUUCCAGAGACUUUUCAUCAAUAUAAUGCUAAUAUAAAGUAAAUAACAGAGGCUCACGCAAACUAAAAAGCUUGUGUUUAUUUAGGGAGGAUUUCACAGAUGUUGAAAACUACAGAUAAUCAUUUAAAUUGCAAGAAUGGAACUCAUAGACUCAACAUACAACAGCAAGCGUAAGAUCAAAGCAUAAGAUAAUUACGUAAAAAUAGACAUUGGAAAGAUGGAGGAAAGGAUGCGGGUGAUUUUUCUUUUUAUUUCCUUUUUUUUUUAGCAUCUUUUGGUUAUUAAUUUAAACACCAUAAAAUUCACCCAAUAAUAUUUGGUAAACUUAUACAGUUGUGCAACCAUCACCGCAAUCCAAUUUACACUUGAUCUUUAGCCAAAAGGCUGAGAAUCUGUCACAGUCCAGUUUCAGAACACUUCUAUUAUCCCAAGAAGUUCCCUUAUGUCCAUUGGCAGCCAAUCCCUGCUUCAUCUUCAGCCUCAGGCAAUCAAUAUUCUCUCUUCUGCCCCUAUAGUUUUGCCUCUUCUAGAAGUUUCACAUAAAUUGAAUUUUACAAUAUGCAGUUUUUUGUGUGUCUGGCUUAUUUCACUUAGCAUAACAUUUUUGACAUUCAUCUAUACUGUUGCACAUAAUAGUAGUUUGCUCCUUUUUAUUGCCGUGUGGUUUGUAGUUCAUAGCUAUAUGACAUUUUGUUGAUUCACCUGUUGAUACACAUUUGGGAUGUUUCCAUGUUUUGGCUUUUAUAUAUAAUGCUGUAAUGAACAAUCACAAAAAAGUUCUUGCUAGGAUAUGUGUUUUCAUUUCUUUUAAGUAAUACCUAGGAGUAGAAUUGCUGGGUUGUAGGGAAGGUAUAUAUUUAACAUUUUGUAAAAACUGUCAAACUGUUUUCCAAAAUGUUUCUAACAUUUUGAUCCAGAUGUACUAAAAUUUACAUUCCCACCAUUAAUGUAUGAUGGUUCAGUUUCUCCACAUCCUCACUCACAGUUGAGACUAUCCUUUUCAUUGUAGCAUGUAGUGGUUAAUUUUAGGUGUCAGCUUGACCAGGUUAAGAGAUACCCAGAUAGCUGAUAAAGCAUUAUUUCUAAAGCAUUAUUUCUGGGUGUUUCCAUGAGAGUGUUUAUGGAAAAGAGUGGCAUUUGAAUCAGUGGACUAGGUAGAGAAGAUCCACACUCAGCAUUGUGGCUGAGCAUCAUCUAAUCGGUUGAGGACCCAGAUAAAACAAAAGGCAGAAGGAGGGGAAAUUCUCUCCUUCUUCUGGAACUGGGACGUCCCCCUUCUUCUGUUCUCAGACAUCAGAACUCUAGGUCCUUGGGCCUUUGGUAACUAAGACUUUCUAUGCAUAUUCCAUUGGUUCUGUUUUCUGGAGAAGGCCUGACUAAUAUGUGGCCUUUCUAGGAUGUUUUGAACAAAAAGAAUGUAUGCUAGUUUUCAGUCAGUUCAGAAAUAGGAUCAAAACAAGCCACCACCAGCCCCUGACAAAAUCUCCUUUUCUAAAUGGUCUUAAAGAAUGAAAAUUUACAGGAUUCAAAAGCUUGUGCAACAUUCUCCUUAUGGUGUUUUAAAUUCUGUAUUUUUCAAUUUCCUUCAAGUCAUCUAUCUAUUUUAGCAACUUGAGCCUCGUAUCAUAUCAAAGCCUUACCAGAAAGCACCUUGCUACCUCGUGGAUUUGCUUAUGAGUAGGACAAAAUGGAUCCUUCAACUAAAGAGGAAUCUUUCUACAUCUCUUAUUCUAAAAUGUUAAAUAUCAAACCAGGAUCCUCACUCCAACCUAAGUAAGUUUGUAUCCACCCCCUCUGCAUGUAGAUAAUUUCUAUAGCUAUAAAAUAAACCUUUGGAGUACUACUUAGCUUACCAGGCAUUGCUAAUUUUCUUUCCCUUUAACUACUUAAUUCAACUUUUUAGGUUUACAAUUUCUUGACCAUUCACUAAAAAAUGAUGGUGUACUACUUGCUCAAAAUUUCCCUGGAGGGUAAAAAACACAUUAUAUAUUUGUGUAUUUAUCACAUAAUUGAUUCCCAUUCUUGGAAAGGAUUUGAUUGAUAGAUGCUAAUUUUGACUAGAGAAAUGUAAGGUAAUAUCCCUACACAAUUUUCAUGAGAAUUGUGCCAGGGAUGCCACCUAAAGUAAAUUGCCACAUGCCACAGUCAAAUUAACAAAGGUGUACUUCUAUGGUCUUCCCACUAAGAUGUCCAAUGCAUUCUCAUUCCAUGAAGGAUUUUUUCCAAACUUAAUUACAUAAUGAAAUAGCCUCAUUUCCUACACUGAAAGGCUGCUACCAGGCCAGCAGUCCCUAUGAGUUAGCCAUCAGUCCUUCCUGGAUUUACCUAAUUGUGCUAUUUUUCUUCAUGGAGGUUUCAAGGUGAUAACAGACAAGAAGGUAGAGACCAUGGUUCACAAUACAGCAGAGAUGUGUUGUUGUAGUCAGGCAAAGGUCAGCAGUUGCCAAGAUACAUCACCAAGGGUAUCACCAUGAUUGAGCCCUUGCAGACAUUUGCAAGCUUCAUUUCAGUUCAAGGGUCAUAGCUCAAGGCACACAAAACUUACAAUUAAAUCAGCAUGUGCAUACAGUAGUCUCCUCCUUAGCUGUGGUUUCACUUUCCAUGGUUUCAGUUACCCAUGAUCAACUACAGUACAAUAUAUUAAAUAGAAAUUUCCAGAAACAGACAACUCAAAUGUCUUAAGUCAUGCACCUCUCUGAGUAGCAUGAUGAAAGUCACUGAGGAGCCUUCUCCAUUAUCAUCAUAUCCACUGAUUCAGGAUGACAGUGUUUGUGUUCAAGUAACCCUUAUUUUACUUAAUGAUGACCCAAAGCACAAGAGUAGCGAUGCUGGAACAUUGUUAUAAUUGUUCCAUGUUCUUAUUAGUUACUGUUAUUACUCUCUUACUGUAUCUAAUUUAUAAAUUAAAUUUUAUGGUGGGUAUGUAAAUAUAGGAAAAAAUACAGCAUAUGUAGGGUUCAGUACUGGUUCAGUCCAGUAUCAGGCAUCCACUGGGGUCUUGGGGGAAUCCUCAGAGGACAAGAGGGGGACUGCUGUGCAUUAUCUCACCAUGCUGAAAAUAUCUCUCAAGUAACAGAACACCACCUCUCCUUGUAUUAAUAAUUAAAUAAUCAUAAAAAGUUUUCUUGGUAUGUGCAGAAUUAAAAUAAAAGGAGUGGACAGUUCAGAGAGGUGUUUCAUCCAGGUCUUAAUGUCCCACAAGCCUGUCUCUCAGGGCUGCCAUCGACAAAUGUGCAGUGUCCAACCUUCAUGACUAUAUAGGUGGUCCACUCUCUCUUGUAAACUCUAUUGAUUAUGUCUUAACUUGGCCUCUCUGGCAUCUAAAUAAUUUAGGACCACACUUCUAACUUCUAAUAUAUGCUUCUGCAGACCCCUCAAUUCUAUGUUGUCUUUUUUUUUUUUUUUUGAGAUAUAGUCUUGCUCUGUCACCCAGUCUGGAGUGCAGUGGCGCUGUCUUGGCUCACUGCAACCUCUGCUUCCCAGGUUCAAGCAAUUCUCCCUCAGCCUCCUGAGUAACUUGGAUUAUAGGUACGUGUCACCAUGCCUGGCUAAUUUUUGUAUUUUUUUGUAGACAAAUUUCACCAUGUUGACCAGGCUGGUCUUGAACUCCUGACCUCAAGUGAUCCGCCCGCCUGGGCCUCCUAAAGUGCUGGGAUUACAGGCAUGUUGCCAUGUAAGGUAACAUAUUCAGAGGCUCUGGGAGUUGGAUGUGAAUAUCUUCGAAAGGCCAUUAUUCUGCCUACCAUUAUGAAGGAACCACUGAUAACAUCUUGAGACCAUUUAAACCAGUUGUACCCAGUCACAAGUGACUGUGCUGCCCCCAGGGGACAUUUGGUAAUGGGUACAGACAUUUUUUGGUUGUCAUAACUAGGAGAGGACCUGACAUCUAGUUGGUAGAGGCCAGGGAUGCUGCUAAAUAUCCUAUAAUACACAGAAUAGCACCUACAACAAAAAAUUAUAUAGCACAAAAAUAUCAAUAGUGAUUGAGUCAAGAAACCUAGAUUUAAAGCAUGAGAUUCCUUGAAAUCUAAGUUAGGAAGGUUACAAUGCAAUGAAAGUCAGUUUCAGGAUUUAGACUUACAUAGAAAAGUCUGCAAAAUCACAUACAAACUCGAUAAGUCUAAGUUUUUGACAAUCUUACAGGGUAAAUAAGUGAUGAAUAAUACUUUGUAGCAUUUUGAUCCCUUCCUUAAGUUCUUCUUUCUUAAGUGGUAUUUGUUUUAUUUUAGGUCUGGUGUAAUCUUUCAUACUGACACAUUACACAUAUGGGUAAGUUAAUUUAAAGUAUACAUAAACAUCAUUUUAUGUACAUCAUAAAUAUUUAGGUCCUAGAUGCUCAGAUUUAAAAUAUGUAACACCAAACAGAUUUGAAAUAGCCUUCUGCAAUAUUUUACUUCUGUCUUGGUAUGGCUUGAUUUCUAUUCCUUGACUUCAAAAGAUCAAAGAGAAAAUUACAUUUGCUGUGACAUUCCCUUCCACUGGGAGAAAGGUUCGAGUUGGGGCCAUCUUUCACUUAAUGGAAGCACCUUGAAUAUCAAUACUUACUUUUCCCAUUCUCAAGAAUUUCUGAGCUCAUGUUUGAACCCACCUAGUCUCUUAAAGUGCCCUAUAGACUUGCUGAUAAGAUAUUUUAUAUUUUUUCAACAUCUUUCUAUUCAUAUUUUUCUUUUCUUUUUUUUGUUUUGAGAUGGAGUCUUGGUCUGUUGCCCAGCCUAGAGUGCAGUGGCAUGAUCUCAGCUCACGGCAAUCUCCGCCUCCCAGGCUCAAGCAAUUCUCCUGCCUCAGCCUCCCUAGUAAACGGGAUUAUAGACAUGCGCCACCAAAUCCAGCCAAUUUUUGUAUUUCUAGUAGAGAUGAGGUUUCACCAUGCUGGCCAGGCUGUUCUCCAACUCCUGACCUCAAGUGAGCUACCCACCUCCGCCUCCCAAAGUGCUGGGAUUACAGGUGUGAGCCACCGUGCUCAGCCUUCAUAUUUCCUUUUCUUUCCAUCCGCUCUACUCCUGUCAUUCUACUUUAAUACUUGAUUUUGUCCAAGUUUUCCUCUAGGAUUUUCCUAGUUUGCAAUAACUUCUAAAAGAAAUAGUUGUAUUUUCUGUGGCAGAAAAGAUCUCCUAACCAGCAAAAGACUCUGUGUGUGUGUGUGUGUGUGUGUGUGUGUGUGUGUGAAUAUGAAGAGUGUAUCUAUGAGGGUGUGUGUCAUCUUAUUUAUUCCUCUAGGAAGAAUAGUAACUACCAAUGUGAACAAGUAUUCUGAUGGCUUGUGAACCAACAGGAUGAAGAAAAAUACACAGCUAUACAGCAACCUUGUUUACUACAGAAGUGAUUUCUAUUGUAUACAUUCCUCUGCCAAGAUACAGUUCUGCAAGGUGUUUUACAUUUAGUUUGAUUUCUAAUCUAUGAUUAAAGGAUACAGGUUAAAUACAUUUUAGAGAGUUGAGACUUGCCAAACAUUAUUUAAAAACUGUAUCUCUAAACAUUAAGUCACAUUUAAGAUCCCAGAUUCUGAAUGUCACAUUGCUCCUUGGGAGGAGAAACCUGCCUAGAUCUCUGUCGCAAAAUCACUUCUUGUUUAUAAAAAUACACCUACCUAGUCAAAAAAAUCCAGCUUCUUUGAAAAUAAAAUUCAAGGAAAAGAAGACAAAAAAGAAAAAAUAGUGAGAAAAGACAGAAUCUAUAGAUUAACAUACUGAAGAGACAUGUCAAGUGCAUUAGAGACAGGAAUUAACCCUUAGUAGUCAAUAUGUAAGUGGAAGUUUCUCAAAGCAGGACAGCCUGAGCAUUUAAUAGGGUAGCUGGUAGAGAGAGAAAGCAUAGGAGGACUUGGGGAGGAAGUAAAUGUUAACUUUGACAAUUUGGGCACAUGCUGACUUUCGCACAAGACCAUGGACAUCUUCCAGCCAAGGUACCAACCUGUGCAGCCAUUUCCCUUGGAAUAAAGUAGCUUUGUUUCUGAGACAAACUUUGAAGGAGAAAGUGCAUCUUAUGUUGAGCAGCAAAUGGCUAACAUCUAAAUCAACUCUCCCUCAAGCUCCCCACAUCACAUCUCAAGAUGUCUGGCCAUAGCACUUGCGACCCAGAGCCAAAAAAAAAAAAAAAAAAAAAAAAUCCAUCAAAAAGCAAUACGAAAAAAGCAAGGGGCACAGAUACAGAACAUUAGACUACAGCCUAGAAUUGCCAGAUAUUUUCCCAUCAUUCUUUUGCAAAGUUCAGUGAAUAACAAAAAUCCAUGUAAAGAAUAUCCAAGGCUGGGUGUAGUGGCUCAUUCCUGUAAUCUCAUCCCUUUGGGAAGACAAGUUGGAGGAUCACUUGAUCUCAGCAGUUCAAGACCAAGCCUGGGCAACAUAACACCCCCCUCUGCUACAGAAAAAUUUUUUAAAUCCUAGCCAGAAGUGGUGGCAGGUGCCUAUAGUCCCAGCUACCCAGGAGGCUCAGGCGGGAGGAUGCCUUGAGCCUAGGAGAUCAGGAGAUCAAGGCUACAGUGAGCUGUGAUCACACCACUACACACUCCAACCUGGGUGACAGAGCAAGACCCUGCCAGAAAAAAAAAAAAAAAGGAAUAUCCAGCAGAAAAUGCUUAAAAUUAUUUGGGACAGUUUAUUUCUUAUUUCUUAUAAGACACAUAGACGUCUAAAAAGGAGGUUUAGAAUCUCUUGUUAAAGGGCAUAAGCAUUGUGUUAUAUCCCAGGGUGCUGCCCUUAGCUACCACCUUUCUUCUUGAAGAAAGAACAACUACUCCCAUUUUCAACACACUCUAAUUGGUAGAAUUUCUAUAGCUCCAUACACUUUCCUGUUUUCUGCUCUUAUUCUUUUUUCUCUUCUAAUCACUGAUAUUGUCUUAAGUUCAGCCCUUAAACUUCUUCUCUUCUUUUGAGAACUCAAAUACUCCCAAGGCUUCCACUAUCACUUCUAAACUGACAGAUCCCAAAUUCAAAUUUCAGAUUUUUAAACCUCAUCUCUACCUCCCUGCUGUCUAUCCUCAUGUGGCUGUUACCCACGGCUUAGACCAAACACAUCCACAUCCACCUCAUAACCUCUCUAUUUCUGUGUGAGCUGCCACCAUUUUUCUUAGUCCCUUGGGUUCUAAAACUUGGCAUCAUUCUCAACUAAUUCAUUUUAUUUAGCAAGUCUGUUCUAUUGAGUCACCCAAUUCUCCCUUCCAUUACCUCAAUAGCCCUCUUAUCUCACCACAGGCCACCCUUUUUUGCUAACACCUAGAGUACAGCAGCAGCCCCACCUGCCUGUCCUCCUUUUCACUCAAUCCAUCCAACUUCACAUUCCUGGAAUCAUCUUUCACCUUUGGCCUGAUCACUCCCCUGUUCAAAAAUAUCUGUUUUUCCUGUAUUACAAUAUCAAGGAUAAACAUGGAGUUCCAAGAUUCUCCAUAAUGCACUCUUCCAACAAGCAUACAUUUUUACUACUUCUCAAUAACAUAGUUUAUUUCUGUUGUGUUUGGAAUUCCUUCUUCUGUACCUCCACAUCUCAAUUCUAGCCCCACUUCAAGGUUCUCCCCAAAUGUUAAUUUCUCUGCCUAGAUUUACAGGCCUACAUCUCACUCCCUUCUUCUCACUCACCUGCUGAUGUGCAUUGUGAAAUUUAACACAAUAUUCGAUGCUUACCAUUUCAUAAGUGUUCAUUUUCUUUCUCCAACUACAUGGCAAGCUCCAUACAAAUAGAGAUACAGUUUUCUAUUGCCCUGCCAUAUAGCCCAGGGCUGAAAACAGUGAUAUAUUUUUCAGAGUAGACAAGUUAAUUAAUCUACUACUUAAAUACAUUUUUAUUUUCCUUGAUUAUAGAGCCAGACACAUAAAUAAAAUGAAUAAAAGUAUAAACAAAGCAAAUGAAGAUUAGCACUUAAUUUUAAAUGUUAUACAUCAGCUGCAUAACUAUUACAUGUAAAAACCAUUUCUUACCUGAUUUUAUGCAGUCUGAUGACUUGCAAAUACCAUCUAGGAAAAGGAGGAAAUAUGCAUAAAUAUUGGCAACACAUUUUUAAUUUUCUACUUAUCUUUUGCUCUUUUAAAAACUGCCAAUUAAAUAAGCAAUUCCUUAAAGCAAGAACUAAAAACUGAGCAUUAUAUGUCUUUUUCAGUGGUUAGAGAAAAUAUAAGAAAAUAAAGUAGGUAAAAUCUAAAUUUAAAACUUUGAUUAUGAAGAAAAAUGUGUUAUUAUAUCUUCUCUGCCAACUAAGUCCUAGGCAUAUUAAAUUGAAAUAAUCAGUUGUUUUUGCUUGGUAAUCAUUUUUUUUUGUUUGCCAUUAAACAACCAAUCUUUUUUAAUCCUUAUUGUGAAAAACUUCCAAGACUCGAAUUACAUUUGUUAAAUUCCUGUGAAGACCUUUAGAAUUUCAAUGACACAACAAAAAUUGACUAAUGACUAUUACUAAAGCUGGCCACAAAAUUGUGUAUAUUUUAAUCAAAUAAAAACUAUACAUCAGAUUGCUCAUAAGUAAGCAUGAGUGCACUAAAUAUACUUGCAAUUAAUAACUUAGCUCAACAUAAAAGGUAUUGUACUUCAGAGUUAAUUGGUUUGACAUACUGAUGUUACAUUCUAUAAAUGAAUCGCUUUGUCAGUCUUUAAAUGCCUCUAUCCUUAGCACAUGUAUUAGAUAGAUGGUAAAAGCAUAGUGGAAGAUUUCCUUCUCUUUUGCAUUUACGGAUGCACAGGUGUGGGAGUAACUUACCAUCGUAGGUUGCAUAGAGCGCGAUCAUUGUCACAGCUAUGAUGGUGAGGAGCAGGACAAGGACCGAGAGGCUGAUCUCUAGUGGGGUCCAUCGCUGUUUCUUCUUUGGCUUUGGAGUGUUGAUAUCAGUUAUAUCCAUCUGACUUUCUGAUCUGCCCAUCACCUAAAAUCUGCAAAAAAUGAAAAUACUGAUAAUGAAAAAUAUAUAGAUAAAAAAGAAAAUGUUCAAAUACCUAAUAUGGCUGGAUAAAAGUAAAAGGUUCAGUUAUUUUAAAUUAGAAAUACAUUUUUGCUGUUGAGAAGUCAAAAUUGUGUUGUUGAAAGCAAAGAAUAUAGAGCCAAA